rnacentral:lncRNA from 1 species
UUACGCACCUACGACACCAAUCAAAAUAAAGAGUCACAAAUAUUUUUACACAUAAAAUAGAUACACAUACACAUAUACACACACUCACGAGCACCACUAUCGUAGCAGCCACAAGAAGCAGUACUUUCCCUACCACAGCAUAAUCCUACAAAAAUAGAAAAGAAGCGGCAAUAGCGGAUGGGACGUCAAUCAUCCGAAAGAAUAGCGGUCGUCGGAAAAACUGAUACAAACCAUCAACAAAAUUGAAAACAUGUCAAUAGACGAUCAAAAAUGAUGUGAUACACAUCAAAGAGCGGCAAGCUCGUAAAAAUAACCACAGGGAAUUACAGCGGCAGCAGCACAAAAAUGAUGAAGCAAGCUUUUCGGAUAAGCACGCUUUUCUAAGAUAAAAAACAAAUCGGAAGUCUCACGCGACGGAGCACAGUCGACAAGGAGCAGCAGGAGGGCUAGUUACGAGCCGAUUUCCUAAAACUAAUAUGGAAAAAGAAAAAGAAAGAAGUUCCAAUAUAUAAAGACUGGGAGCAAAGGGAUAAGCAUCUCCAGUUUUCCGACAGAACGCAAGCUGUCAGUUACUCAGCUAGUCGCCAGAUUCAUCAGUAAAAAACCAAAGUGUAGUAGUGCGCCGUAUACAGAGAAGAACUGAAGAGUCGGAAAAUAAUCACUCCAGCAAACUGUGACGAACCACCUCAAGAUUCGUAAUAAGCCACCCCGCCGUAAGAAAAUGAUACUACGAGGCGCUUUUACGACCGCACUUGCACUACGCUUGGAAGACAAGCGCUACGAGCCCACGGAUUCAUACCUCCUUCUGCUCUCUUUCCCUAACUCUCUCAUCCUCAUCCAAUAAACAUUUAAAUUUAGCGUCUGACGCUGAAGAACAAUCAGGGGGGGGGCGUGUCACGUGAGCCUAUCAUUACCUAGAAUGGCCAUUUGAAGCGAACACUAAUAUCAAGUCAAACCGAUAAACAACUAUACCACGGUAAGCAAGGCUGUUACCCGGAACGGAGGGUCAUAGUGGGCGCCGAUAAACCAACAACAGUCGGCAACGCAGAAUGCGACACGAGAAACCAGCGGCUGACACGUGCAGCCAAGGACGAAAGGGCGCCGAUCCUGAAUAAACCUGGUCAAACAAGGGGAGACUCUCCGGUAUUGCCGGACAAUAAGGAAGCCAUAAAUCACUGACAACCAGACCCAAAUAAGUGGAAAUCGAUGCAACAAUGAGGAAAUUUUCAAUAAAGAAAACCAUUCCAGAUGGCCAGGCUUGUGGCAGCGUACUGAGGGGCACUGAUUAAUAAAGGGGAGCUAACCUCUGCUAAGACACGCACCCUCCCAAAUUCCUGAUUGGCUAGAAUCUUACCUAUGCUUAUGCAUUACCCUUGUCUCUAUAAAUAUCAAUGGAGAGCAAGGAGGAGCAUCUUUCGGAUUCCGGAGUUCUUAUUGGUAGGGCGAAGCUCUGCCCAAAUCGCGACUUUAACUAUUUUUCUGUAAUUGAACUUAGACUCAGAACGCUCGCCUAGUUUUCGGACUUAGUCGUAUUUUCACCUCUCACACGAGUUGUACUUAGUUGAGAUUCUUUCGCCUGUACAGUUCAUACUUUAAGAAAUUGAAUAAAUUAUGAUAUUCAGUAUCUAAAAACUGCGCACGAAUUAUUUCAUUCAAAUCUCCGCACCCUUGAGACGAGCAGCAGCGCCAGUACGUGAACGAGUCUAGUCAAUCGGUAACUACAGGCCAGCACUCUCAAAGUAAAUCAUCAAACCUUAUCGUGUAAUUUCGGUUAUUGUGUCAAUUCAUAUUAUAGUGACUUAACAAGUUCAACGUAAUCAGAAUUAGAUCUGAGUCUCGCUAUUCCGUGAGCUAUCACUAUAACACCAUUAGUCGAGCUGCUGGUUAAAUCGCACGCUUCUUUACCUUUUCCCUAGGCGAUAUCAUGUAAACGAACUGCGCUAAAUAAAAUGUUUAAUCGACUCGGAUUAAAUAAUCAUUUCUACCGUGCGAGUAUUCGCUCUGUGCGGCCGCCCGGACAUAAAAAUGAUGUUGUGAUACCCAUCAAAGAGCGGCAAGCUCGUAAAAAUAACCACAGGGAAUUAUAGCGGCAGCAGCACAAAAAUGAUGAAGCAAACACCGGACAAGCACGCUUUCCUAAGAUAAAAAACAAAUCGGAAAAGUCACACGCGACGGAGCACAGACGACAAGGAGCAGCAGGAGGGCUAGUUACGAUGCGUGUUAUUUACUUUUAAGUCCUAGGUGCGCUUGGCCGAUUAGCGGUUGUCCUAUGCCGUUGGUCUCUUUGUGGUUUGGUAUUUUCUUCUCCGGUUUUUCGCUAUUGCGGUGGGCGUGCGCCCCCCUUACUUUUGUUUUUCGAAUGCAAAGUUUUCCUCUAAUUGGCCUUUCUUUGCAGGCGUGAGUCUUUUCCUCUGGGCCUUGCUCGGAAAAUUUGUCGUCCGAUUAGUUCCUCUUGUUUUUCUCUCCCCCACUGACCUGCCCGGGGUUACCUGCAUCUCUUUAUAAGGCCCCUGCCCGUUCGUUUCGUACUCAGUUUCUUGUCCUCAGCUUCCUUGAGACUCUUCCAUAAGGUUUUCAAGAUGUUUGCCGCGGUCGCGACGUGUGCUGGUGCUUUGGUGCAUUCGGCGCUGGCAGUUGCGUCCUUCGUUCCGUGGCUCGUGUGUUCGGUCUGUAUCGUCCCGCCUUGGUGCCUUUGAAGCCUCUAAACUGGGUAAGUUUCUUAAGUUGACUUUGUGAGUGAAAUUUGAAACUUUUUGCUAAUUCUCUUGUUUUGCCCCUUUAGGACAUCUCGGAGCAACUGACUCCCUUAUUUGUUUUUCCGUAUCACACACAGACCCCAUUAGCUCAUUCUAUGCCUUGUGCCGUUAACCGCAGCACACCCCUCCGACCAUUAUGCGGGAGUACUACGCUGAUUACGAUCGGUACGUCUUUAAUUCUUAGUCUCUCGCUGAUCAGAAGUUUUUUUUCCGAUUCCUGAAUCGAGUGCCACCACGAGUCUUGGGAAGAUCAGGAGGCCUGGAAGGUCUAUUCUAUCUGCCGUUGCUGUUAAUACCAUCCGUCUUACAUGACGUGUCUCCGUGGCCAGGAAACCUGGAUUCGCAUCCCCGGCCGCAAGUGUUAUCCCAAGAUGAGCGACGACUGACUUGAUUUUGUAUAAGUUUUUAAGUGCGUUUUUCUUCUACCUGCAAGGCGUGUGUGUUUGCGUGUAAUACUCGCUGCAUUAAUUAUUAUUUUGUAUCUUGCGUGCUGUAUUGUUUGCCUUGUGAUCUGUUCAUUAGUUUUUAAGUGUAUGUGCGAAGAAAGUGUGCUGGAGUAUCAUCCUAGUAUGAUUAAUUUUAUUUUGCUUGUGUUUCUAGUAUUCUAUAU